ACUCCUACGGGAGGCAGCAGUCGGGAAUAUUGCGCAAUGGAGGAAACUCUGACGCAGUGACGCCGCGUGCAGGAAGAAGGUUUUCGGAUUGUAAACUGCUUUAGACAGGGAAGAAAAAGACAGUACC
rnacentral:rRNA from 1 species